rnacentral:lncRNA from 1 species
CUUUCCCAAAGCUGCCAAGUGCAUUCUGGAAGGGCCACUUAAACCCUCUAAGCGAAAGUCAAAAUAGAAUGGAAAAUUCUGGGAACUCUGACUACGCAACACCUUGUUGUCAUUCAAAUUCUCUUUAAAAAAAAAAAAUGUAUUGCUGUUUAGUCAUUUGUAUACCUGUACUGUUACAACUAGCAUGUCUGUCCACUGUUGAAUAAGCCAUAGCGCAAACAGUCUCAAACACCUCACCGACAGUCCAAAAUGUUCAUCAUGUGGCUUAACACAUGUUAACUACAACCUGGAGAUAUAGUUCCAAUAUCAGUAUAAUUAAAUAGUAAAAUAAUUAUGCUGUCUUUCCCCAGUCACGUCUGCACUGUUGUUUCUAAAUGUAUCCACAGGUUGCCAGUAAUGAUGUCUCUGGUGAUCUGGCUCAGAAGGCUGAGCUGAGCUGAUGAGUGAUCACUUAGAAAUACUGAAUCAGGCAAUGGAAACUCUGAAUCGGUGGGCUCUGGAGAAGGAACUGAGGGUGAGGUGACUCGGGGCCAGAGGGCUAUUACGGACUAUGGACAAGCUGAAGGCAUGGGAAGCCUGACCAGUAGAAACAGGAAAAUGAACUUGGUGCACAGAGAAAAGCAGGGACGUCAUGAAUGAAAGACCACGGACCCUCUGUUAUAGUCCAUGGGGCCAGGCUGUAUUCCACUGCCUACUCCUGGAUUCCCCAAAGAAUGCUUUGUGUCCUUAUGACAAAUCCACCUUUCCAUGGACAACAAUGAGUGUGUCUCUGUGUCUUCAAACCUGAGAACUAAAACCAAAAAACGUCACUUAUGAUGCUGUGGAAGAGACUUCUACCCCUUUGUACGCAUGGAGAUGUUUCCCAAAUCUACACGAUGAUAGAAGUUAACUUGCUGCGUUAAAACAUAUAGAUUGCCAGGCUCCUUCUCUGUAGAUUCAGUCCAAAGUUCUGACUUAGGCCCCGAGAAGAUAUUUGUAUUCUUACAUUCAGGCAAGUUUGGGCCACACUCAUUGAAGUGAAUUCUGAGAUCCUUUCAAUUGCAGAGUCAACAAAUACAAACGAAUCAUUCCUCCACACAUAGCAGUAGUUUAAGUGCACAGAUGUAGAAUCAAAGACAUAGUUCUUGUCCUCAAAAAAUAAAAAAAAA